CCUACGGGCGGCAGCAGUGGGGAAUAUUGCACAAUGGGGGAAACCCUGAUGCAGCGACGCCGCGUGAGUGAAGAAGUAUCUCGGUACGUAAAGCUCUAUCAGCAGGGAAGAAAAUGACGGUACCUGACUAAGAAGCCCCGGCUAACUACGUGCCAGCAGCCGCGGUAAUACGUAGGGGGCAAGCGUUAUCCGGAUUUACUGGGUGUAAAGGGAGCGUAGACGGCGGUACAAGUCUGGAGUGAAAGCCCGGGGCUUAACCCCGGUACUGCUUUGGAAACUGUGGGGCUGGAGUGCGGGAGGGGCAGGCGGAAUGCCUAGUGUAGCGGUGAAAUGCGUAGAUAUUAGGAGGAACACCGGCGGCGAAGGCGGCCUACUGGACCGUAACUGACGUUGAGGCUCGAAAGCGUGGGGAGCAAACAGGAUUAGAUACCCUUGUAGUC
rnacentral:rRNA from 1 species